AGUGACUGCAGAGGUCGUGUAUUAAAGACCACAGAGGCUCAUGAUGAAAGGAACUGGGGUCCCUGAGUCAUCACCUAGAGAAGAACCUUCCAACCUGCAUGGAACUGUGAGUCCGACCACUCCCACUGCUUUUGGCUGCCUCUGACCUAAUCCCAUCAAUUUGAUUCACCUAUGCAGAACUUCAGUUUGCAGAUACUCUGGCAUCCCAUAAGGAAAUGUGUUUAUCUUGAAAGCACCUGGCAGUGUCGGCAUGGAUGGGGCUGAGCUGGUGGAAAGACCCCAUUUUUCAAGCCCAGCUUUCUACAUGGAAUUAUUCAAAGGGAAACCUUAUCAAGCAGCCUUCCAGCCCCGUGUCAUCCAUCUUCUGAAGGGAUUUGAUGGAUCCCAAGACUUCCCACUUACCCAUCACCAACAAUUUCAGUGCACAGGACUCUGGUCAACAUGAAGAAGAAGGUGGCAAUUGCUACAUAAUUCACAAUUAUACAAGGAAUGCAAUCAACUGUCUAUAGAACCUCAAGAUGCUUGGCCACCACCCCUAAUUCCCACAAUCAUUGCCAGAAAUAAAUCAUCAAAGCAAUC